GAUUUGAACAUAAAAGAAGAUAUAUAUGUGGUAUAUAGGCUUGUGAAAGAUGUCCAAAUUAGUCUUCAGGGAUUUUCAAAUUAUAAUCACAACAAAGCUCAGUUAUUUACCUGAGAAAAAUUAAAACAUGUUUAUAAAAACUUUCAUAGAUGCAUCUUUAAAAUGAUGUUCUGCUUAUACAGAAGAUGACAUACUUUUUGUUUUUUUAUUCAGUUUAUAUUAAAUUCUAGAUAGUACAAACUGAUCUGUGUGGAUGACAGAUCAGCUAUUGAAUUGAUGGGGUUAGGGAUAGGGCAUGUGAGGGAUUGUCCAAGAAAGGGCAUUAGGAAUCUCUUAGGGGUUGAUGGAGAUGUUCUGCAUCUUCUGUUGUUGGUGGUUAUGUGGUGAAUGCGUUUGUCAAAACUUAUACAAUUGUAUACAUAAAAUGAAUAUAUUUUACUGUAUUAAAGGCUUUACCUCAAUAGAAAAGCAUUUAAUUGUAUGCCAUGAACCCUGAUAUAAAUUAGAGAAUUUUUUUAUGAAAGUAAAAAUAUGCAAUUUAUAUAAAAGGUAGAUGAUCAGAAUUUGUUUCAAAUUGGUAGAUAGAAACAAGUUCAGGAAAUGCUGAUGUAUAUUUUGGUGAAAACUCCAGGGAAGUCAGGAAAUUAUAUUUCUCUUAAAUUAGUAAAUGAUGAAGACUAUACUUUCAGAGAUCAUUUCUAUAGUAUGUUAAAUUAGUAAAUGAUGAAGACUAUACUUUCAGGGAUCAUUUCUAUAGUAUGUUAAAUUAGUAAAUGAUGGAUAUUUAUCGAGUUUAGGAAGUUAUAAUAAACCAAUAAAGACAACAAUGAUAAUAGCAAAAAUAAGAAUUUAUAUUCUUUAACAUAAGAAAUCUCUCAAAAGAAAAUCAAGAUGGAGAAAAUGAGUGAAAUAAAUGGAAGAUAUGAAGUAAAAUGCUAGAAACAAAUACUGUUAUUCAAAUGCUUUUUUUUUUUUUUUUUUUUAAUGAAGUACAGGGAAUUGAACCCAGGGCCUUGCAAAUGCUGGGUAAGCACUUUAACUACUGAGCUAUAUACCCCUAUUCCUUGUUACUCAAAAUUAACAGAAAUGACAAAUUCACUAGUUAAACUCCCGAGAUGAAUUUUUUCAGUAGGUUAAAUUUUAUUUACAUGAUAUAAAGUACUUUCAGUGAUAAUGUUUAAAGAUAUGAUACUUAAAUAUGAUUACAUGACCUGUGUAACUCUAUGUCAUGUACAACCAGAUAAAUGAGAAGUUAUACUCCAUUUAUGUAUGAUGUGUCAAAAUGCAUUCUUCUGUCAUGUAUUACUAAUUAGAAACAAUAAAAAAAUAGAGAUAUGAUAUGUAACAUGAAAACAAAAGUAUGGACAGAGAGAUAACAGACAGAUAUGAACUAUAGCAAUAAAUGAGGCUAUAUAAUAAUCGGAACAAAUCUUCACUGAAGUAACUUGUAAAAUUAUUUACUUGAGAAAGAGAAAUUGAAUCCACUAUAGAAGUUUUGAGACCAAAUCAAGAAAUUGGUAAAUAUGUGUGUACAUCUAAAUGAGUAAUACUUUAUGAAACUUAAUAGUAGUUAUGCUUAAUUUGCUUGAUUAAUAUGAAGAUAACAUGGUGAAAGUAAGUUUGGGGUAAUAAUAACAUCCCUGACAAGAAGGGGAUGAUGAGAAUUAACCAUUUGAAUGUUUCUAUACUCUUCAGGAAAAGAAGAUAUAAUUAAUUUAAUUAAGAAUUCAUGAGAAGGGGGGAUAGGAAGGGCAGCAGAAUAGACACUAGUAUUGCUGUAUGUAUAUACGUGGCCUUAUAACCAAUGUGAUUCUGCAACCUGUACACUUGGAAAAAUGAGAAAUUAUAUCCCAUGUGAUUCAAAUGUAUUAUAUGUCAAGAUCAUUGUAUUAUCAUGAGCAACUAAUAAAAAAAUAUUUUCAAUAUAAUAAGUUACAUAAAGUGUUUGGAAAUAAGUGUUAUUAAAAUAAAAGCAUAAAGCAAAAGAAAUAAAAAAGUACUCAUGAGUAUGUUAAAAAUUUAAGAAUGACCUUUGAGUAUAUGCAACUUUCAAAAUAAAAAAUCAGAAUAAAGAAAAUAAUUCAGUUGGAAAUUUGGGUAAAAUCAUGCAAUAAUUAGGGUAAAUACAAAGCAUAAAAUAAGAUGGCACAAAAUAUGUUAGGUGUAUCAAUAAUACUAGUAAAUUAAAAUGGACUGACUUUAACAGAGUUUAAAACUAAGAACUUGAACAAAAUUUAGCUGUAGAAUUGUUACAGAUCUAAAAUAUGAAUACAAAGAGAUUAAACAUAUUGGAGAAAAAUUACAUAAGAAUAUUUGUUCCUGUUUUCUGGUAUGUGCAUUUUCCUACCUCAUUUAGAUGGCCACUGUUAAGAUUUAUUACUAUAAAUUAAUUUUGCCUUUUCUAAAAAUUUUAUAUAAAUGGGAUUAUAUAGUAUGGAUUUUUUCUUGUUAUGAUUUUGUUUA
rnacentral:lncRNA from 1 species